UCCAUUUUUCGGAAAGAAAAAUUAGAUUGCGACUGCAAAGAGAAAAACUUUUGCUUUUCUAAGGGAAAAGGGCAAAAAGGAAAAAAUAUAUAUAUUAUUUAUUGGGGAGAGAAAAAAAAAAUACAAAGAUAGUAUACAAUAUAGUAAUAUUAUUUGGGUCACCAUAGACCAUCUUCCAGGGUUUUAAAUUCAGGUGGUUUAACACUUUGAGAAUGGAUAUAGGUAUGAUGAGUCUCUCAGUCUCUUAUCUCUAUCUGUUUGUGAGUUACAAGACAUUGAAGUUGGGAUGGUGAAGGACAGAAGUGAGAAAAUUAAGGCUGAUCAGUACACAAUCUUGGAGCUUUUCCUGGGAAAAAGAAAGGGUUGCGGUGGUGGUGUUGGUGGCAGUGGCAGUGGCAGCAGCGGCGGAGGCAGCCCCUACAAACUUGCAGGUUGAAAAUGUUGAGGGCUGCGGGUGUUGAUGCUUGGAAAAGGAAAAUGGAAGUAGAGAUGAGAUUGUCAACACAUGGGAUGCACAAGGUUUUCGAUAGCAUUUCUGAGGACUGCUCUGGCUAUUGUAGGAACCCCAUUUUACAGGUUAUGUCCUUGCGACUCCAGCUCUUCUACUUCUUCGGAUUUUAAUGGUGGUGGGUGGUGGGUGGUGGUGGUGGUGGGUGGUGGUGGUGGUGGGUGGUGGUGGUGGUGGGUGAUAUUGGCGGGGACGGCUCAAUCUAUUAUUGUCAUAUAAUUGUUUUUUUCUCAUUUUUUUUCCUCUUUGUAGCUAUUCAUGUUUACAUGAAAUGGGUAUGCAAAGGUUCCUCUGUAACAGGAUGGCCUCUUUCAAUUACUUUCUAAUGAAUACUUGAUUUGCUCUUUUGGUUU